rnacentral:rRNA from 1 species
CCCUUAGAUGUUCGGGGCCGCACGCGCGCUACACUGAAGGAAUCAGCACGUCUUUCUCCUUGUCCGAAAGGACUGGGUAACCCGCUGAACCUCCUUCGUGCUAGGGAUUGGGGCUUGUAAUUUUUCCCCAUGAACGAGGAAUUCCCAGUAAGCGCGAGUCAUAAGCUCGCGUUGAUUACGUCCCUGCCCUUUGUACACACCGCCCGUCGCUCCUACCGAUUGAAUGGUCCGGUGAAGCGUUCGGACCGUGGCCUUUGGACGGUUCGCCGUCUGUUGGCUGCGGGAAGUUCGUUAAACCUUAUCAUUUAGAGGAAGGAGAAGUCGUANCA